AUACUCUGAUUUCUCUUCAGACCUUAUAAAUCUUUGGUCUUCUACUAAAGAUUAGCGUGGAGAGAAACAUUCGUGAGUUCAUUAAUAACUUUUUGAGUCCUCUUUUUCACAAGCUAU